rnacentral:rRNA from 1 species
AGAGUUUGAUCCUGGCUCAGGAUGAACGCUAGCGGCAGGCCUAACACAUGCAAGUCGAGGGGCAUCGGGAUUGAAGCUUGCUUCAAUUGCCGGCGACCGGCGCACGGGUGCGUAACGCGUAUGUAACCUACCUAUAACAGGGGCAUAACACUGAGAAAUUGGUACUAAUUCCCCAUAAUAUUCGGAGAGGCAUCUCUCCGGGUUGAAAACUCCGGUGGUUAUAGAUGGACAUGCGUUGUAUUAGCUAGUUGGUGAGGUAACGGCUCACCAAGGCAACGAUACAUAGGGGGACUGAGAGGUUAACCCCCCACACUGGUACUGAGACACGGACCAGACUCCUACGGGAGGCAGCAGUGAGGAAUAUUGGUCAAUGGACGCAAGUCUGAACCAGCCAUGCCGCGUGCAGGAUGACGGCUCUAUGAGUUGUAAACUGCUUUUGUACGAGGGUAAACGCAGAUACGUGUAUCUGUCUGAAAGUAUCGUACGAAUAAGGAUCGGCUAACUCCGUGCCAGCAGCCGCGGUAAUACGGAGGAUUCAAGCGUUAUCCGGAUUUAUUGGGUUUAAAGGGUGCGUAGGCGGUUUGAUAAGUUAGAGGUGAAAUCCCGGGGCUUAACUCCGGAACUGCCUCUAAUACUGUUAGACUAGAGAGUAGUUGCGGUAGGCGGAAUGUAUGGUGUAGCGGUGAAAUGCUUAGAGAUCAUACAGAACACCGAUUGCGAAGGCAGCUUACCAAACUAUAUCUGACGUUGAGGCACGAAAGCGUGGGGAGCAAACAGGAUUAGAUACCCUGGUAGUCCACGCAGUAAACGAUGAUAACUCGUUGUCGGCGAUACACAGUCGGUGACUAAGCGAAAGCGAUAAGUUAUCCACCUGGGGAGUACGUUCGCAAGAAUGAAACUCAAAGGAAUUGACGGGGGCCCGCACAAGCGGAGGAACAUGUG